AUGCAGUCGAACGAUGAAGCCGGAGCUUGCUCUGGUGGAUUAGUGGCGAACGGGUGAGUAACACGUGAGUAACCUGCCCUUGACUCUGGAAUAAGCGUUGGAAACGACGUCUAAUACCGGAUACGAGCUUCAGCCGCAUGGCUAGGAGCUGGAAAGAAUUUCGGUCAAGGAUGGACUCGCGGCCUAUCAGGUAGUUGGUGAGGUAAUGGCUCACCAAGCCUACGACGGGUAGCCGGCCUGAGAGGGUGACCGGCCACACUGGAACUGAGACACGGUCCAGACUCCUACGGGAGGCAGCAGUGGGGAAUAUUGCACAAUGGGCGCAAGCCUGAUGCAGCAACGCCGCGUGAGGGACGACGGCCUUCGGGUUGUAAACCUCUUUUAGUAGGGAAGAAGCGAAAGUGACGGUACCUGCAGAAAAAGCACCGGCUAACUACGUGCCAGCAGCCGCGGUAAUACGUAGGGUGCAAGCGUUAUCCGGAAUUAUUGGGCGUAAAGAGCUCGUAGGCGGUUUGUCGCGUCUGCUGUGAAAACUGGGGGCUCAACCCCCAGCCUGCAGUGGGUACGGGCAGACUAGAGUGCGGUAGGGGAGAUUGGAAUUCCUGGUGUAGCGGUGGAAUGCGCAGAUAUCAGGAGGAACACCAAUGGCGAAGGCAGAUCUCUGGGCCGUUACUGACGCUGAGGAGCGAAAGCAUGGGGAGCGAACAGGAUUAGAUACCCUGGUAGUCCAUGCCGUAAACGUUGGGAACUAGAUGUAGGGGCCAUUCCACGGUUUCUGUGUCGCAGCUAACGCAUUAAGUUCCCCGCCUGGGGAGUACGGCCGCAAGGCUAAAACUCAAAGGAAUUGACGGGGGCCCGCACAAGCGGCGGAGCAUGCGGAUUAAUUCGAUGCAACGCGAAGAACCUUACCAGACUUGACAUA
rnacentral:rRNA from 1 species